GAGAGGAAGAUGAGGAAGAUGAGGGGAGAUAAUAAAGAGAGUUAUCUUUGUACUCCUAUUAUUUCAAAUUAUAAUGAAAGCACCACUGCUGCCCCGAGGACGUACUCUAGUCACACUGACUGUAGAGGAACCUCGUAAAUUUUGUGUCUUGUUUCAUUUAUUCCACUGCACCCACAGUCGAUCUUACAACACGUUAUCAGCACGAAAAGCUCUCAUGUCAGUGGAAAGCACAACACCAUAAAUCCGGUGAAGCAUUAUCUACCUCUCACCUCGGUUAGCUAAAAUCUCACAGAGUAGAGACGGCAAGCCAGACAUGUCAAACAGGGAAGAUCAUCUUGUCAAAAUUCCAUCAACCUUUCUUUUAUCACUUUUCUUUUAUCACUCUAACUAUUGAUGUGUUAAUCCUUAUCCCUGCUAGACCUGCAAUCUAUUUUUUCUCUCGUGGACAAGAAAGAUGGAGAGAUCUUACAGACAAACAAAGGUGCAGCAAAACAAGCAAAGAGAUCCAGAAGAAUCUCAUUAGACUUGGAAACUCAGAUCGUGUCGUUCUCAAUGGAUCUCGAGGACCUCCAUGAAUCCUCAGUUGUCUGAGAUGGUGAUGGCAUGACUGACUCCACACAAGCCUCCCUCUCUUAUGCCUUCGUCAACCUCACUGUCAUCUAUGUCUAUAUGGAGAGGUUCUUGCUUUGCGAUGCCAUGUUCUUUGGGCCAUGCAAGAACAACGCCAGUCUCUGGUAGCCUUUUUUGGAUUGAAUUGGUUUUGUGUAACCCCCACAACAACCCAGCUGGUACUGGCUUUUGAGACUGGUAGAGAUAGACAAAGAAAAGGGGAAAUGAGGCCAAUGAUUUAGAAAGGUGCGUUGCACCAUGUAAAAUAAAAGAAAUAAAACCAAAAGUUUUUGGAAUGUUGUAGCAUGUGAAUGAAUAAGAAAAAUAAUAAUAAAGGUAAAGGUUUUUGGAUGGUGUUACACCAUCUGAAAAGAAAGAAGAAAAUAUGUAUAUAUUUAUUUA